rnacentral:rRNA from 1 species
GGCUCAUUAAAUCAGUUAUCGUUUAUUUGAUAGUACCUUACUACUUGGAUACCCGUGGUAAUUCUAGAGCUAAUACAUGCUAAAAACCCCGACUUCGGGAGGGGUGUGUUUAUUAGAUAAAAAACCAACGCCCUUCGGGGCUCCUUGGUGAUUCAUGAUAACCUCUCAGAUCGCACGGCCUUGCGCCGGCGACGGUUCAUUCAAAUUUCUGCCCUAUCAACUUUCGAUGGUAAGGUAUUGGCUUACCAUGGUUUCAACGGGUAACGGGGAAUUAGGGUUCGAUUCCGGAGAGUGAGCCUGAGAAACGGCUCACACAUCCAAGGAAGGCAGCAGGCGCGCAAAUUACCCAAUCCCGACACGGGGAGGUAGUGACAAUAAAUACUGAUACAGGGCUCUUUUGGGUCUUGUAAUUGGAAUGAGUACAAUUUAAACCUCUUAACGAGGAACAAUUGGAGGGCAAGUCUGGUGCCAGCAGCCGCGGUAAUUCCAGCUCCAAUAGCGUAUAUUAAAGUUGUUGCAGUUAAAAAGCUCGUAGUUGAAUCUUUGGCCUGGUUGGCGGGUCCGCCUCACCGCGUGCACUUGUCCGACCGGGCCUUCUCUUCUGGAGAACCGCAUGCCCUUCACUGGGCGUGUUGGGGACCAGGACUUUUACUUUGAAAAAAUUAGAGUGUUCAAAGCAGGCCUUUGCUCGAAUACGUUAGCAUGGAAUAAUAGAAUAGGACGUGCGGUCCUAUUUUUGUUGGUUUCUAGGACCGCCGUAAUGAUUAAUAAGGGACAGUC